GACAGAGGGUGCAAACGUUGUUCGGAUUUACUGGGCGUAAAGCGCGUGUAGGCGGCUUUGCAAGUCGGAUGUGAAAGCCCACGGCUCAACCGUGGAAGUGCAUCCGAAACUGCAUGGCUGGAGUCUCGGAGAGGAUAGUGGAAUUCCCAGUGUAGUGGUGAAAUACGUAGAGAUUGGGAAGAACACCAGUGGCGAAGGCGGCUAUCUGGACGGUUUCUGACACUAAGACUCGAAAGCGUGGGGAGCAAACAGG
rnacentral:rRNA from 1 species